rnacentral:rRNA from 1 species
GACGAACGCUGGCGGCGUGCUUAACACAUGCAAGUCGAACGGAAAGGCCCUGCUUUUGUGGGGUGCUCGAGUGGCGAACGGGUGAGUAACACGUGAGUAACCUGCCCUUGACUUUGGGAUAACUUCAGGAAACUGGGGCUAAUACCGGAUAGGAGCUCCUGCUGCAUGGUGGGGGUUGGAAAGUUUCGGCGGUUGGGGAUGGACUCGCGGCUUAUCAGCUUGUUGGUGGGGUAGUGGCUUACCAAGGCUUUGACGGGUAGCCGGCCUGAGAGGGUGACCGGCCACAUUGGGACUGGGCUACGGCCCAGACUCCUACGGGAGGCAGCAGUGGGGAAUAGUGCACAAUGGGCGGAAGCCUGAUGCAGCAACGCCGCGUGCGGGAUGACGGCCUUCGGGUUGUAAACCGCUUUCGCCUGUGACGAAGCGUGAGUGACGGUAAUGGGUAAAGAAGCACCGGCUAACUACGUG